rnacentral:rRNA from 1 species
UGGGGAAUUUUGGACAAUGGGCGCAAGCCUGAUCCAGCAAUGCCGCGUGCAGGAUGAAGGCCUUCGGGUUGUAAACCGCUUUUGUCAGGGAAGAAAAGGGUGUUUCUAAUACAGACGCCUCAUGACGGUACCUGAAGAAUAAGCACCGGCUAACUACGUGCCAGCAGCCGCGGUAAUACGUAGGGUGUAAGCGUUAAUCGGACUUACUGGGCGUAAAGCGUGCGCAGGCGGUUAUGCAAGACAGAGGUGAAAUCACCGGGCUCAACCUGGGAACUGCCUUUGUAAAUGCAUAGCUAGAGUACGGUAGAGGGGGAUGGAAUUCCGCGUGUAGCAGUGAAAUGCGUAGAUAUGCGGAGGAACACCGAUGGCGAAGGCAAUCCCCUGGACCUGUACUGACGCUCAUGCACGAAAGCGUGGGGAGCAAACA